UUUUCAAUAGGUGUCUUUAUGAAU
rnacentral:siRNA from 1 species